AUUGAACGCUGGCGGCAUGCCUUACACAUGCAAGUCGAACGGCAGCACGGGUGCUCGCACCUGGUGGCGAGUGGCGAACGGGUGAGUAAUACAUCGGAACAUGUCCUGUAGUGGGGGAUAGCCCGGCGAAAGCCGGAUUAAUACCGCAUACGAUCUACGGAUGAAAGCGGGGGACCUUCGGGCCUCGCGCUAUAGGGUUGGCCGAUGGCUGAUUAGCUAGUUGGUGGGGUAAAGGCCUACCAAGGCGACGAUCAGUAGCUGGUCUGAGAGGACGACCAGCCACACUGGGACUGAGACACGGCCCAGACUCCUACGGGAGGCAGCAGUGGGGAAUUUUGGACAAUGGGCGAAAGCCUGAUCUAGCAAUGCCGCGUGUGUGAAGAGGGCCUUCGGGUUGUAAAGCACUUUUGUCCGGAAAGAAAUCCUUGGCCCUAAUACGGUCGGGGGAUGACGGUACCGGAAGAAUAAGCACCGGCUAACUACGUG
rnacentral:rRNA from 1 species